AAUAAGUGCAGUUUUACACUGUUCAUAUCCAACAUUUGACCAUUUAUUUUAUUUGAAAUUUUUUUAUGAUUAGUAUUUUUAUUGUUAUUAGAUGAUAAAACAUGAAUAUCACUUUAUGUUAACUAUUUUUUUAUUUUUUUUAUAUUUUUUUCAAUAAGACGGACGGUUAAACGUUGGAUACGGAUACCCACGGCUGGCUUGUGA
rfam:Oryza barthii chromosome 6, whole genome shotgun sequence.